rnacentral:lncRNA from 1 species
AGUAGGUUGGUAUGUAUGUCUAUUCGGGCAUUCAGAUGUACAUGUUUAAAUAUAAAAAUAUUUAAAUAUCGUUCUCUAUCAGUUUAAGCUUUUAGUGAAUAAUGCUUAUUUCAUCGUUAUAUUUUAUUUUUUGAGAGAAAAAUAGAAUACUAUCUGCUCUGUUUAUUUUUUAAAAAAUAAAUUUAACUGAAAAUAUGAAUUAACUAGAAUUCAAACUUGAAAACUCGAAUAUCAAUCACGAAACCCUUUGUCACAUGUGCUAGGGCAGUACAUAUAUUGCUAGUAAUCAAUAAUAGCUACA